rfam:Asian citrus Psyllid, Diaphorina citri - Florida Strain, whole genome shotgun sequence.
GCCUCCGUGGCGCAAUUGGUUAGCGCGUUCGGCUGUUAACCGAAAGGUUGGUGGUUCAAAUCCACCCGGGGGCG